rnacentral:misc_RNA from 1 species
GCUUUGGCUCAGUGUUGGGAGAGUGUCGGGAAAAAUGGGUGUCUGGAGUGUUUGGAGAAGGCAGUAAAGGAGGUUAAAGGGUGCUUGCCAAGCAAGGAAGGCAUAGGGAUGAAUGCUGGCUGCUAUUUGAGAUACUCCACGGACAAGUUCUUUAAUCAUGAAGGAGAACUAGGGGAUGCUCACGGAUUGUCAGGAGUUGCCAUUGCUAUUGCUUUAGCAGCAGCUGCACUCCUCAUGCUGUCUCUCCUUGCAGCUUAUGCUGGCUAUAGAAAAUUGUUGAAGGAAAAAGAAGAACGUAUCAAUCUCAAAAAAGUUUCAAUCAGUUUCAACAAAUCAGGGUUGAAUUUCAAGUAUGAGACCCUG